rnacentral:tRNA from 1 species
GGAGGGUUAGCCUAACCAGGUAAGGCAGCUGAUUUGAAAUCAGCCGGGCGAAAGCCCUUGGGGGUUCAAAUCCCUCACCCUCCGCCU